AGAGUUUGAUUAUGGCUCAGGAUGAACGCUAGCGGUGUGCCUAAUACAUGCAAGUCGAACGGGAUCCUUUGGAUUCGUCUGAAGGUGAGAGUGGCGGACGGGUGAGUAACACGUAGGUGACCUGCCCCGGAGAGGGGGACAACCACUGGAAACGGUGGCUAAUACCCCAGAUGUUAGUGCGCUUAGAAAGCAUUGACUAAAGCCCCGGCGCUCCGGGAGGGGCCUGCGGCCCAUCAGCUUGUUGGUAAGGUAAUGGCUUACCAAGGCAAAGACGGGUAGGGGGCGUGAGAGCGUGACCCCCCACACUGGUACUGAGACACGGACCAGAUACCUGCGGGUAGCAGCAGCAAGGAAUAUUGCCCAAUGGACGAAAGUCUGAGGCAGCAACACCGCGUGGAGGAUGAAGGCCUUCGGGUUGUAAACUCCUUUUCUGGGGGAAGAGAAAGGACGGUACCCCAGGAAUAAGUCUCGGCUAACUACGUGCCAGCAGCCGCGGUAAAACGUAGGAGGCGAGCGUUAUCCGGAUUUACUGGGCGUAAAGCGCAUGCAGGCGGUUUUUUAAGUCGGACGUGAAAGCCCUCGGCUCAACUGAGGGAGGCCGUUCGAAACUAGGAAACUUGAGGAUGGUAGAGGAGAGUGGAAUUCCCGGUGUAGUGGUGAAAUGCGUAGAUAUCGGGAGGAACACCAGUGGCGAAGGCGGCUCUCUGGGCCAUUCCUGACGCUCAGAUGCGAAAGCUAGGGGAGAGAACGGGAUUAGAAACCCCGGUAUUCCUAGCCGUAAACGAUGUCAACUAGGCGUAGGAGGGUUAUUGACCCCUUCUGUGCUGUAGCUAACGCAUUAAGUUGACCGCCUGGGGACUACGGCCGCAAGGCUAAAACUCAAAGGAAUUGACGG
rnacentral:rRNA from 1 species